rnacentral:sRNA from 1 species
CAAGAUGACGGCUUUGACAUUAUCUACAGUAAACUCAGAAGCGAAAGGUUGUUCUUUGUAGAUCCCCAUCAAGAGAUCAAUCAUGCUCUCGGU